UCCCCGUUACCGGGGCAGUCUGAAUAGAAAAAUCCAACUAUUCACAAGGGUUGCGCUCGUUGAUGGACUUAACCAAACAUCUCACGACACGAGCUGACGACGGCCAUGCAGCACCUGUCACCUUGCUCAAUAAAGCACUCUCUGCUUUCACAGAAAUUCAAGGGAUGUCAAACCCUGGUAAGGUUUUCGCUUAUCAUCGAAUUAAAGAACAUGCUCCACCACUUGUGCGGAGCCCCGUCAAUUCCUUUAUGUUUUAGUCUUGCGACCGUACUCCACAGGCGGGAUGCUUAACGCGUUAGCUUCGCUACUGAAGGGGUCGAUACCUCCAACAGCUAGCAUCCAUAGUUUACGGCGUGGACUAC
rnacentral:misc_RNA from 1 species